rnacentral:sRNA from 1 species
GCUGCGGCAACAUCCGCAACCGGGCUUGGAACCCCGAACUCUCAAGACUGAAAAACGCUUUGUUUUUU